rnacentral:rRNA from 1 species
GUCGUGAAUUUUCCGCAAUGGGCGAAAGCCUGACGGAGCGACACCGCGUGCAGGAUGAAGGCCUUCGGGUUGUAAACUGCUGUCAGGUUCUAGGAACGAACGGGUGUGAACAGCACUCGGAAUGACUAAGACCAAAGGAAGCAGCGGCUAACUCUGUGCCAGCAGCCGCGGUAAUACAGAGGUUGCAAACGUUGUUCGGAAUUACUGGGCAUAAAGCGCACGUAGGUGGUCUGCUAAGUCGGGCGUGAAAUCCCUCGGCUCAACCGAGGAAUUGCGUUCGAUACUGGCAGGCUCGAGGUUCGGAGAGGUAACUGGAACUCCUGGUGGAGCGGUGAAAUGCGUAGAUAUCAGGAGGAACACCGGUGGCGAAAGCGAGUUACUGGCCGAAAUCUGACACUGAGGUGCGAAAGCUAGGGUAGCAAACGGGAUUAGAAACCCCAGUAGUCC